rnacentral:rRNA from 1 species
GACGAACGCUGGCGGCGUGCUUAACACAUGCAAGUCGAGCGGUAAGGCCUUUCGUGGUACACGAGCGGCGAACGGGAGAGUAACACGUGGGUGAUCUGCCCUGCACUUCGGGAUAGGCCUGGGAAACUGGGUCUAAUACCGGAUAUGACUUCCUACUGCAGGGGGGGGGGGGGAAAGAUUUAGCGGUGCGGGAUGGGCCCGCGGCCUAUCAGCUUGUUGGUGGGGUAGUGGCCUACCAAGGCCACGACGGGUAGCCGACCUGAGAGGGUGACCGGCCACACUGGGACUGAGAUACGGCCCAGACUCCUACGGGAGGCAGCAGUGGGGAAUAUUGCACAAUGGGCGGAAGCCUGAUGCAGCAACGCCGCGUGCGGGAUGACGGCCUUCGGGUUGUAAACCGCUUUCGGCUGGGACGAAGCGCAAGUGACGGUACCUGGUAAAGAAGCACCGGCUAACUACGUG